rnacentral:rRNA from 1 species
AGUGAACGCUGGCGGUAGGCCUAACACAUGCAAGUCGAACGGCAGCACAGAGGAGCUUGCUCCUUGGGUGGCGAGUGGCGGACGGGUGAGGAAUACAUCGGAAUCUACUCUGACGUGGGGGAUAACGUAGGGAAACUUACGCUAAUACCGCAUACGACCUACGGGUAAAAGCAGGGGAUCUUCGGACCUUGCGCGAUUGAAUGAGCCGAUGUCGGAUUAGCUAGUUGGCGGGGUAAAGGCCCACCAAGGCGACGAUCCGUAGCUGGUCUGAGAGGAUGAUCAGCCACACUGGAACUGAGACACGGUCCAGACUCCUACGGGAGGCAGCAGUGGGGAAUAUUGGACGAUGGGCGCAAGCCUGAUCCAGCCAUACCGCGUGGGUGAAGAAGGCCUUCGGGUUGUAAAGCCCUUUUGUUGGGAAAGAAAUCCAUCUGGUUAAUACCCGGGUGGGAUGACGGUACCCAAAGAAUAAGCACCGGCUAACUUCGUGCCAGCAGCCGCCGCAG